UGACAGGUGGUGCAUGGUUGUCGUCAGCUCGUGUCGUGAGAUGUUGGGUUAAGUCCCGCAACGAGCGCAACCCUCGACCUUAGUUGCCAGCAUUCAGUUGGGCACUCUAAGGUGACUGCCGGCUAAAAGUCGGAGGAAGGUGGGGAUGACGUCAAAUCAUCAUGCCCCUUAUGACCUGGGCUACACACGUGCUACAAUGGGCGGUACAAAGGGUCGCGAACCCGCGAGGGGGAGCCAAUCCCAAAAAGCCGCUCUCAGUUCGGAUUGCAGGCUGCAACUCGCCUGCAUGAAGCCGGAAUCGCUAGUAAUCGCGGAUCAGCAUGCCGCGGUCGAAUACGUUCCCGGGCCUU
rnacentral:rRNA from 1 species